rnacentral:lncRNA from 12 species
GGGCGGGGCCUGGAGACCCGAGCGCCCGGGGGGCGGGGCCUGGCCGCGCGUGGGCGUGGCGGUCGGGCGUUGUGGUAGAGGAGACCCGUGGCGGUCGGUGGCCGUUGGCUUGGCGGUUGGCAAGGCUCGGAACUGUGGACUCGUGCCCGGGGGCGGGGUCAUUCGUAUCCGCUCUCUGAACCGCCGCCACCCCAAGCUGCAAAGAGCUUCAGCUCCAGCGCGGUUAAUCCGUAGAGAGAGGCCAGGUCUCCGCCAGGCCCCGGAGGUGGGGGGAGAAGCUGCGAACUGUGGGUUUUCCCGGAGAUGCCGGAAGGGAUGGCUGGGAAGGCAGCGAGAUUCCGACGGAAGCUAGGUGUCGCCCGUCCAAAAGCUCUCGGAGACAAUUAGGGGGGCUGGGAGUGAAGGCGGCCCUGGAGGGGGCGCAGCCCACGCGGCCCUCCGACCUCCUGGCGGGGGUUCCGGGGAGGCUCAGAAAUGUGGGGAGAGCUGAUGGGCAGCUGACGGAAGCCCCGACCCCAGAGGAGGGCAGCGGGAGCGGUGGGGGCAGACGGAGUCUUCGGAUUCGAGGUGUCUAUGCCUGGCUUGUUCCCUUGCUUUAGAGAGCAUGGCCAGACCCAACAGACGAAGCCACAGGGAGGCCAGUUGAGACUUGACUGAAGAAGGUAAGGACCGAGGGGCUGAGCACCCCAUGCCUGGGAUCCAGCAGUCAUUUGCCAGGAAGGCUGAGCCCCGGGGUGGCAAGAGCGUGGUUUUGGAAAGGAGAAGUGUCUCUGCUUCUGGCGUAGAGUUGGUCAUUUAUUUUUUUUAAUUUUUUUUAUUUUUAUUUAUUUAUGAUAGUCACAGAGAGAGAGAGAGAGAGAGAGAGAGAGAGAGAGAGGCAGAGACAUAGGCAGAGGGAGAAGCAGGCUCCAUGCAGGGAGCCCGAUGUGGGACUCGAUCCCGGGUCUCCAGGAUCGCGCCCUGGGCCAAAGGCAGGCGCCAAACCGCUGCGCCACCCAGGGAUCCCGAGUUGGUCAUUUAGUUCUCCAAGCCCGCACGUCCUCAUUUCUGAACCAUUGGUGAGAAAGCGCUCCGCACAGCAAGGCCGGCGGGAGCUCUGUCCAAGGUGGCGCACCAGGGUGGAGCACAACCAAGGCUGGAGUGUACUCACUGACACCAGAGCUACUCUGUCGACGCUGCACUGGAGAUCUUCUGCUAAAGGAAGACUGCUUGGAGCAACAAACCCACUUUUCAACUGA